rnacentral:rRNA from 1 species
UUAUACUAUAAACAUUUAAAUUUUUAAUUUCCCGAAAUAAGUAGAGCUAAUUACUUCAUCAUAUUAGAGCUAUAACGAUAAUAGUGUAGUAUAACUAUAGUUUAAAAAGUAAUUAGGAGUGAAAGGCCAAUCAAUACUUAUAGAUAUCUGGAUGAGCUUUAAAUAUAUUUAGUAUACAUAAGGCAAAUAUAAAGUUAUAAGGUUUUAUAUAACUAAAAUUAUGAAUUGAUAUAUUAUGCAAAUAAAUUAAAAUUUAAUUGUAAUUUUAUUAAAAUAAUGUUUUUUCUUAACUAUUUAAGUUUUAUAGCUCUAAAGUUGUUUCUUAAAUCUAUUAGGCUUUAGAUUCUGUUUAAAUUAGUAAUACUAAAAAAAAUUUUGAAAGUAACUCGGCAAAUACAUAAUCUCAACUGUUUAUCAAAAACAUAGCUAAGUUUUAAUACUUAGUUAUUUCUGCCCGGUGAUAUUAUUUAACGGCCGCAGUACACUGACUGUGCAAAGGUAGCGUAAUAAAUUGACUUAUAAUUGAAGUCCAGUAUGAAAGGGAAUAUGGGGUUAAGCUGUCUCUUAAUAAUUUUACAAAAUUACUUUAGAAAGUGAAAAGUCUUUUGAUGCUUAAUAGACGAGAAGACCCUAUGAAUUUUUAAAGAAAAGUUAUGUAGCUUAAUUUUUUGUUGGGGCAACAAAUUGACAGUAAUAUACAUUAAUUCAUCCAUAUAUACCAAAUAUUAUUAUUACUAAACAAAUUACUAUAGGGAUAACAGCAUAAUUUUAUAGGUAAGAUUGUGACCUCGAUGUUGGAUUAGGAAACUGUUAAUAUAACCUAUUAAGUGAUUAGUUCUGUUCGAACUUUUCCU